UCUAAUAAAAAAAAUAUGGACCUAGCUAGAGUAUUUUCACAGGACACUAAUUAAAGUGUUCUGGCGUGUAUGGACCCGAAAUAUGCCCCAUUCACUCCUCUCCUGCCACCCCUCCCACCUCCGAACGGCGCCAAUGAUGCCUUCUGUUCUCAAAACAACCAAUGGGUACCAUUUUAACUGUUCCCGUCUCUUCGCCAGACAACUCGCCCCGGUUCCUAUGUCUGCCAGACCCAACGCCUGGCCGAACUCCCUGCCUUUGGUUCCCGUCUUUGAUACCGGCCACACCUUCUUCUCCAUGUCUGCUGCCAUCUAUGGUCUCCAAAGUGCUCGAUCAAAUGCCUCCCACCACCAUCUCCUUCGACUCGACACUGCACCAAAGGAUCGAAUUUCGACACGAAAUUCACCUCCGUCCCACUGCUUGAUCCUACCUUUUACUGCAAUUGUUCAAUGUUUCCCGAUCGUCAAUUGUUUCUGCACAAUUUUUCUCCAUCUUUGUCGCUCUACCGCCUCCAAGCUGCUCGAUCUAUUGCCUACUGCAAUCGACAAAUCGACAAGCUACCCAUGAUGGCAGGCUAUGGAAUUUCGCACUGCAUUGGUUUCUGGGGAGACCUGGUUAUAAUAACGCAUCCAAUUUAAGUGCCUGUAAGCUCUUCUACAUGCCGGCAUUCUCACGAUAAAAGUAAUAUUAUCUACCUUUCAUUAAUAUUCUCUCGAUAUUAGCUUUAGUUCACCCGAACAAGUCUUGUUUUAUUGAAAUAUUUCUAGUUUUUGUGCCUCUAUUUUUAUAUAGAAUAGGAAAAUGGUUUUCUGCACAUUUUAGUUACUUAAGUACCGUAGGAGUUGGUUAUCUUCUUGUAAACUAAAACGCGGAAAGAUCCUCAGGCCCUCGAGAAAUUCUACUUUCCCAUAUAACCGAGGUCAUGUUUCUAUUAUGUAGUCUUUUAUAUGUCCAUCAUCAUAAAACGACUUUCUUAUGAUGAUGCAGUCCACAUUAAGGUCUGUCUCAUAGGACUUGUUCUCUAAUUUCUUUAUGCUUAUCUAAAUAUUGUUCUUAGUGGUAAUUUAUAAAUGGUUUCUACGGGAGCGACUGUCUGGAUUGGCUCAGUAAGGGAGGCUGCUACUUGUGCACGCAGAAGGACGUAGAACUAGACUCGACUAGCAUGCCAAACCUUGAUAGAGAGGACCUGCGAUCUUAUUAAACCUAUCUUAAGUCAAGGCCACUUUCAAUGUGAGAUUUCUCUCAUUUGACUGUGACUUAGCAAAUUUGAUUUAUAUAUUAAAGAUAUUAUGAUAGAAUUUUCUUCUGAAUA